rnacentral:tRNA from 1 species
GCCUGUAGCUCAAUGGUAGAGCCGCGGACUUUUAAUCCGUAGGUUGUGGGUUCGAGUCCCACCGGG